GAUUCAGCGGCGGACGGGUGAGUAAUGCCUAGGAAUCUGCCUGGUAGUGGGGGACAACGUUUCGAAAGGAACGCUAAUACCGCAUACGUCCUACGGGAGAAAGCAGGGGACCUUCGGGCCUUGCGCUAUCAGAUGAGCCUAGGUCGGAUUAGCUAGUUGGUGGGGUAAUGGCUCACCAAGGCGACGAUCCGUAACUGGUCUGAGAGGAUGAUCAGUCACACUGGAACUGAGACACGGUCCAGACUCCUACGGGAGGCAGCAGUGGGGAAUAUUGGACAAUGGGCGAAAGCCUGAUCCAGCCAUGCCGCGUGUGUGAAGAAGGUCUUCGGAUUGUAAAGCACUUUAAGUUGGGAGGAAGGGCAGUAAGCUAAUACCUUGCUGUUUUGACGUUACCGACAGAAUAAGCACCGGCUAACUCUGUGCCAGCAGCCGCGGUAAUACAGAGGGUGCAAGCGUUAAUCGGAAUUACUGGGCGUAAAGCGCGCGUAGGUGGUUUGUUAAGUUGGAUGUGAAAGCCCCGGGCUCAACCUGGGAACUGCAUCCAAAACUGGCAAGCUAGAGUACGGUAGAGGGUGGUGGAAUUUCCUGUGUAGCGGUGAAAUGCGUAGAUAUAGGAAGGAACACCAGUGGCGAAGGCGACCACCUGGACUGAUACUGACACUGAGGUGCGAAAAGCGUGGGGAGCAAACAGGAUUAGAUACCCUGGUAGUCCACGCCGUAAACGAUGUCAACUAGCCGUUGGAAUCCUUGAGA
rnacentral:rRNA from 1 species